rnacentral:rRNA from 1 species
GCGACUAAGCGUACACGGUGGAUGCCCUGGCAGUCAGAGGCGAUGAAGGACGUGCUAAUCUGCGAAAAGCGCCGGCGAGGUGAUAUGAACCCUUGACCCGGCGAUGUCCGAAUGGGGAAACCCAGUGUGAUUCGUCACACUAUCGUUAACUGAAUACAUAGGUUAACGAGGCGAACCGGGGGAACUGAAACAUCUAAGUACCCCGAGGAAAAGAAAUCAACCGAGAUUCCCCCAGUAGCGGCGAGCGAACGGGGAGCAGCCCAG